AUUGAACGCUGGCGGCAGGCCUAACACAUGCAAGUCGAGCGGCAGCACAAGGGAGUUUACUCCUGAGGUGGCGAGCGGCGGACGGGUGAGUAAUGCCUAGGGAUCUGCCCAGUCGAGGGGGAUAACAGCUGGAAACGACUGCUAAUACCGCAUACGCCCUACGGGGGAAAGAGGGGGACCUUCGGGCCUCUCGCGAGUGGAUGACCCUAGGGGGGAUUAGCUAGUUGGUGGGGUAAGGGCUCAACAAAGCGACGAUCCCUAGCUGUUCUGAGAGGAAGAUCAGCCACCCUGGGACUGAGACACGGCCCAGACUCCUACGGGAGGCAGCAGUGGGGAAUAUUGCACAAUGGGGGAAACCCUGAUGCAGCCAUGCCGCGUGUGUGAAGAAGGCCUUCGGGUUGUAAAGCACUUUCAGUAGGGAGGAAAGGGUGAGUCUUAAUACGGCUCAUCUGUGACGUUACCUACAGAAGAAGGACCGGCUAACUCCGUGCCAGCCGCCGCCGUAA
rnacentral:rRNA from 1 species